rnacentral:rRNA from 1 species
UCCAGACUCCUACGGGAGGCAGCAGUGGGGGAUAUUGCACAAUGGGGGGAACCCUGAUGCAGCGACGCCGCGUGGGUGAAGGAGUGCUUCGGCAUGUAAAGCCCUAUCGGCAGGGAAGAAGCAAGACGGUACCUGACUAAGAAGCCCCGGCUAACUACGUGCCAGCAGCCGCGGUAAUACGUAGGGGGCGAGCGUUAUCCGGAUUCACUGGGUGUAAAGGGAGCGUAGACGGCCAUGCAAGCCAGGGGUGAAAGCCCGGGGCCCAACCCCGGGACUGCCCUUGGAACUGCAUGGCUGGAGUGCGGGAGGGGCAGGCGGAAUUCCUGGUGUAGCGGUGAAAUGCGUAGAUAUACGGAGGAACACCAGUGGCGAAGGCGGAUUGCUGGACAGUAACUGACGCUGAGGCGCGAAAGCGUGGGGAGCAAACAGGAUUAGAUACCCCGGUAA